GACGGAGGUGGCUAGCGUUGUUCGGAAUUACUGGGCGUAAAGGGCGCGUAGGCGGAUUAGUAAGUUGGGAGUGAAAGCCCGGGGCUUAACCUCGGAACUGCUUUCAAAACUGCUAGUCUUGAGUGAAGUAGGGGAUGAUGGAAUUCCUAGUGUAGAGGUGAAAUUCUUAGAUAUUAGGAGGAACACCGGUGGCGAAGGCGGUCAUCUGGACUUCAACUGACGCUGAGGCGCGAAAGCGUGGGGAGCAAACAGG
rnacentral:rRNA from 1 species